CCUACGGGUGGCUGCAGUGGGGAAUAUUGGACAAUGGGCGAAAGCCUGAUCCAGCCAUGCCGCGUGUGUGAAGAAGGCCUUCGGGUUGUAAAGCACUUUCAGUGGGGAAGAAAGCCUUGGGGCUAAUACCCUCGAGGAAGGACAUCACCCACAGAAGAAGCACCGGCUAACUCCGUGCCAGAAGCCGCGGUAAUACGGAGGGUGCGAGCGUUAAUCGGAAUUACUGGGCGUAAAGCGCGUGUAGGCGGUCUGAUAAGCCGGUUGUGAAAGCCCCGGGCUCAACCUGGGAACGGCAUCCGGAACUGUCAGGCUAGAGUGCAGGAGAGGAAGGUAGAAUUCCCGGUGUAGCGGUGAAAUGCGUAGAGAUCGGGAGGAAUACCAGUGGCGAAGGCGGCCUUCUGGACUGACACUGACGCUGAGGUGCGAAAGCGUGGGUAGCAAACAGGAUUAGAUACCCGAGUAGUC
rnacentral:rRNA from 1 species